UUUCCGUAGGUGAACCUGCGGAAGGAUCAUUAUUGUAUAACCGAGGUGCGAGGGCUGUCGCUGACCCGAAAGGUCGUGCACGCCCGAGUGCCCUCACACACAUCCAUCUCACCCCUAUGUGCACCACCGCGCGGGUCCCCCUUUGGCUUGUUCGGAGGGGGGCUUACGUUUUCACACAAACUUUGUAUGCAUUGUAGAAUGUAUUUUUUGUUUUUGCGAUCACGCAAUCAAUACAACUUUCAACAACGGAUCUCUUGGCUCUC
rnacentral:misc_RNA from 1 species